AACCUUCGCAAUGUGAGAAAUCGCGACGGGGGGAUCCCAAGUGCCAUUCUUAACGGGAUGGCUUUUCAUUAGUGUAAAGAGCUUUUGGAAUAAGAGCUGGGCAAGACCGGUGCCAGCCGCCGCGGUAACACCGGCAGCUCUAGUGGUAACAAUUUUUAUUGGGCCUAAAGCGUCCGUGGCCGGUUUAAUAAGUCUCUGGUGAAAUCCUGCAGCUUAACUGUGGGAAUUGCUGGAGAUACUAUUAGACUUGAGAUCGGGAGAGGUUAGAGGUACUCCCAGGGUAGAGGUGAAAUUCUGUAAUCCUGGGAGGACCGCCUGUUGCGAAGGCGUCUAACUGGAACGAUUCUGACGGUGAGGGACGAAAGUUAGGGGCGCGAACCGGGAUUAGAUACCCGGGUAGUCCUAACUGUAAACGAUGCGGACUUGGUGUUGGGGUGGCUUUGAGCUGCUCCAGUGCCGAAGGGAAGCUGUUAAGUCCGCCGUCUGGGAAGUACGGUCGCAAGACUGAAACUUAAAGGAAUU
rnacentral:rRNA from 1 species